CUUAAAACAGGCAUAUUAAAAAAUGGGAAACAAAAAAGGACACAAUAAAUCAUGUAGGAUUCUAAAGGAUGCAUCGACCAGUAGCGGAUUUUAUUGCUAAGUAUUAGAACUCUUUGUAUUUCUUUUCAUUGAUUUGUACCUUUUGUUUUUGUUUUUGUCUAUGAGCUCUCCAUAUGUUUCUACUUCGUUCCGCGGAAUGCCCGGAUCGACUGUUACUUCUUCCACUCCCGUAAACCAGGUGUCGUUUAUUAUCUUGAUUUACUCGCUAAUAUAUUUUCGUUAAGAUUACUUAUCGAGAGAAAUUGAAAAUGAUAAAAAUCGUUAAAGUCAAAUACGAACAGUUCAUUUUUAACGUCCAAAUUUUGAUUUAACGAGAACUUGAGCAACACUUUAUUUCUUUUCAUCCAUCAAUGUAUUUAAU